GAUGAACGCUGGCGGCGUGCCUAAUACAUGCAAGUCGAGCGAACGGACGAGAAGCUUGCUUCUCUGAUGUUAGCGGCGGACGGGUGAGUAACACGUGGAUAACCUACCUAUAAGACUGGGAUAACUUCGGGAAACCGGAGCUAAUACCGGAUAAUAUUCUGAACCGCAUGGUUCAAAAGUGAAAGACGGUCUUGCUGUCACUUAUAGAUGGAUCCGCGCUGCAUUAGCUAGUUGGUACGGUAACGGCUUACCAAGGCAACGAUGCAUAGCCGACCUGAGAGGGGGGUCGGCCACACUGGAGCUGGGACACGGUCCAGACGCCUACGGGAGGCAGCAGUAGGGAAUCGGCGGCAGUGGGCGAAAGCCUGACGGAGCAGCGCCGCGUGAGUGAUGGAGGUCUUCGGAUCGUAAAACUCUGUUAUGAGGGAAGAACAUAUGUGGAAGUAGCUGUGCACAUCUUGACGGUACCUAGUCAGAAAGCCACGGCUAACUACGUG
rnacentral:rRNA from 1 species